UACGUAGGGGGCUAGCGUUGUCCGGACUCAUUGGGCGUAAAGAGCGUGUAGGCGGUCCGGUAAGUCCGCUGUGAAAGUCGGGGGCUCAACCCUCGAAUGCCGGUGGAUACUGUCGGGCUAGAGUGCGGAAGAGGCGAGUGGAAUUCCUGGUGUAGCGGUGAAAUGCGCAGAUAUCAGGAGGAACACCAAUUGCGAAGGCAGCUCGCUGGGACGUAACUGACGCUGAGACGCGAAAGCGUGGGGAGCAAACGGG
rnacentral:rRNA from 1 species